rnacentral:rRNA from 1 species
GUAGUUUGAUCCUGGCUCAGGACGACGCUGGCGGCGUGCUUAACACAUGCAAGUCGAACGAUGAAGCCCUUCGGGGUGGAUUAGUGGCGAACGGGUGAGUAACACGUGGGCAAUCUGCCCUUCACUCUGGGACAAGCCCUGGAAACGGGGUCUAAUACCGGAUAACACUCUGUCCCGCAUGGGACGGGGUUAAAAGCUCCGGCGGUGAAGGAUGAGCCCGCGGCCUAUCAGCUUGUUGGUGGGGUGAUGGCCUACCAAGGCGACGACGGGUAGCCGGCCUGAGAGGGCGACCGGCCACACUGGGACUGAGACACGGCCCAGACUCCUACGGGAGGCAGCAGUGGGGAAUAUUGCACAAUGGGCGAAAGCCUGAUGCAGCGACGCCGCGUGAGGGAUGACGGCCCUCGGGUUGUAAACCUCUUUCAGCAGGGAAGAAGCGAAAGUGACGGUACCUGCAGAAGAAGCGCCGGCUAACUACGUG